rnacentral:rRNA from 1 species
AACGAACGCUGGCGGCAUGCCUAACACAUGCAAGUCGAACGAGACCUUCGGGUCUAGUGGCUCACGGGUGCGUAACGCGUGGGAACCUGCCCUUAGGUUCGGAAUAACUCCCCGAAAGGGGUGCUAAUACCGGAUAAUGUCUUCGGACCAAAGAUUUAUCGCCUUUGGAUGGGCCCGCGUUGGAUUAGCUAGUUGGUAUGGUAAAAGCCUACCAAGGCGACGAUCCAUAGCUGGUCUGAGAGGAUGAUCAGCCACACUGGGACUGAGACACGGCCCAGACUCCUACGGGAGGCAGCAGUGGGGAAUAUUGGACAAUGGGCGAAAGCCUGAUUCAGCAAUGCCGCGUGAGUGAUGAAGGCCUUAGGGUUGUAAAGCUCUUUUACCCGGGAUGAUAAUGACAGUACCGGGAGAAUAAGCUCCGGCUAAAUCCGUG